rnacentral:rRNA from 1 species
GAUGAACGCUGGCGGCGUGCUUAACACAUGCAAGUCGAACGAUGAAAGCGGGAGCUUGCUCCUGCUGGAUUAGUGGCGAACGGGUGAGUAACACGUGAGUAACCUGCCCUUGACUCUAGGAUAAGCGUUGGAAGCGACGUCUAAUACCGGAUACGAGCUUCAGUCGCACGACUAGGAGCUGGAAAGAAUUUCGGUCAAGGAUGGACUCCUGGCCUAUCAGCUAGUUGGUGAGGUAAUGGCUCAACAAGGCGACGACGGGUAGCCGGCCUGAGAGGGUGACCGGCCACACUGGAACUGAGACACGGCCCAGACGCCGACGGGAGGCAGCAGGGGGGAAUAUUGCACACUGGGCGAAAGCCUGAGGCAGCAACGCCGCGUGAGGGACGACGGCCUUCGGGUUGUAAACCUCUUUUAGUAGGGAAGAAGCGAAAGUGACGGUACCUGCAGAAAAAGCACCGGCUAACUACGUGCCAGCCGCCGCCGUAACAC